AGACCUUCAGAUCAACAUCCUUACAAAUCCUGACUGCUUGUCAAAAACACAAUUUGAAAUUACUGGAUUGCCAGAGAGAAGAAACCAGGUGAGAAUCCAGUUUUACAGAACAGCAUCCAGCCAUCCUCACACUUGAAAGGUGCCAGCUGGCCAUUAUUGCUACAGAGGUGUUACAGACAAAUGCAUCUCUAUAGAUGUAGACAGCAUUCGUGUUACAUCCUGAUAGGAAAAGAUUCUCAUAGACUGGUGUGUGAUCACAUAGUUAAUGCUUCUGUGUUGCUGAGGUAAGGUGCAAAGAUAACUGUGAAUCUAACUUCCCUCAAAUGUUAAACUUGCAGUUUAAAAAAGCUUGUAUCUUGCUGCUACUUGCAUCUCUCUUCCUCAGUUUAUAACAAAGAGAACUAAAUUUUGCAAAGAAAUCAUGUCUAAUCUGCUCAAAUGGUUUAACAGCAGAACUGGAAAGUGUAUUUACUGCACAGACAUGUUGAUGCUUGUAUCAGUAAAACUGUUAUAUAUUUCACUUAAGUUGAAAAUUAAUUAAUAUUUGUAACCUAAUGUUUCCUAACAUGGGGGUUUUAGUCAAAGCCUAUCUCAAGUAUCUCGUAUUUAGUCAAGCAAAUUCCUUACUUUAAAUAAUACUUGUUUCUACUUUUCUCAUUUCAGUAGGAAAAAAAUUAUCCCCUAGUCUUUUUCUUCGUUCUUGCUCUCACUGUUCCUUACUCUUGUGUUUUUUUUUUUUUUUUUUGCAGGCUCUCUUGUACUGCUUGCUUCUGUCCCUGUCUGAACAUCUGCUUCUUUGCACUAUGACUCCUGCCUCAGUUCUUCCCCCUCUAGGCACAUUAUCGCUAUAUUCCAUACUUGGUGUAUGGGAAUUGCUAAGUCAUGGCCUGAACCAGUGAUUGAGCACCUGGUGAAGGAACACAGCCAGCCGUAGGAGCACAGAUGAAAGCAGUUCACCUGUGCAACCAGAAGAAGUGAAACCAAGUUCUUCCCCUCCCUAAAGAUGAGCUGAGACAAAGGUAGGUUUUCUAGCUGGAGAUCCCUCCUUUUGGAAUAUUUAGUGAGUGUUUAUUCUUGGGACAGGUAAGCAAAAAUUAUUUUCUUUAACUGAAUUACGAUUAUCACCCUUUUUUCUAGUUUUAGAAUUGGUUAUCUGCCAUCGUCUUUCCUAACAUUUUGACUGAACAAGGUCUGAUCAAUCUG
rnacentral:lncRNA from 1 species